UCCAUACCCAAUUCUGAAGGAAAAGCGAGG
rnacentral:piRNA from 1 species